GUUGCUAGGCAACGAGGGAGGAGUCGGUAUUCCUGAGAUCAGGGAUGGAGUCCUCUGAGGCAUGAAGGUUUCGGAGGGCUGAGUGGCGGAAGCAGUGCCACUCUGAAGCCUGUUGUAGCCACUGUCACUCAGCCCUGGGUAGCUCUGCAAGGCAGCCAUGUUGCUUCGGGCACAGGGCGGAUAAUCAGAGAGGUUGAGAUUGCACAGCUGGCUCUCUCGACAGCCCACGUUGAAAGUGUUGGGGGCCAGAUGAAAUGUUGGAGGAGAACAGGAUGGAGACAGAAGGUGAGAGGAAGCUGAAGGGGAUGGUGUCCCGGUGCUGGAGGUGGUCGGGGAAGUGCCUGUGCUGCCCCCUGAAAAAUAAAAGGUGAACACCAUUGAGCCAGAGGCCUUUCAAGAGGAGUCUGUCUGGCCAGAUGCAAGCCACACAGGAGGAAGCUUCAGAUGUCCAAGAUGGGCUGAUUUUUACAGAACCAUAGCUUUCUCUUAACCGACGUACGCUAAGUGAUUCCAACUGUGCACACAAACACAUGCACACACACACCUCCGAAAGAGAAGAGGACAAAGAGGUGACACACAAGAACACUAAACUCUUGUGUCCCUGUGUGUAAGUGCCUUCAAAGUCUUGUUUGAGAAAGCAAUAAGGCUUCCAGUAUCCACUUUGCCAUCUCUCACCGUCAGAUCCACUUUCCAGUAAGACCUCUGGUAAUCAGCAUUAAAAUCCACCACCUCAACUUCCCCCCUUGUCCACGGAAAUAUGUUAAAUACGUGUUGUCACCUGAGACUAUUGCUGACCUUGCCAGCUAAAAACAAAUCUCAGGCCCUGACCCUCAGAGGAAAUGGGGUACUGGGGUAAGGUGUCAAGUCAAGGUUGAGGCCUGGAAAGGCUGAGCAGGGAGGACCAGGCAGUGGGAAGUGAGGUAUGGGAUCGAAGUUCUGUCGUAUGAUAUUACAAGCACAACCAGAAAAGCUAAGCUAACCUGUAACAAAACCGUUAUAAUCCAGAGGCUCUGCUAAUGUCUCUCUAGAAGAGCCUGCCAUCUGUCUCAGAGACUGGAACAAAGACUGCAAAUGUAGUCUGUGGAUUUGGGGUAUUUCUGAGGGCAAGAGUCCAGACAGGUCACAAAGUCAAGAGAUCUGGGUUCUCACAGCUCUGCCACACAAACCCCCCAUCUGACCCUGGGCAUGUCACUUAUCUUCUCUGGGUUUGUUUCUUUAUCCAGAAGAUGAAAAAUUGAAUUAGCUCAGUAGUUCUUAAGCUAGGAGAAGCUGCAAACUUCAAGUUCCAGGAUCCCACCCACCUCAGACCAACUAAAUGAGAAGCAAAGGAUUCUAAUGUGCAACCAGGGUUGAAAACCAGUGAUACCACCCAAAUCCCUUAUAUCAGAAUACCUAGCAGAGUGAUUCUUAAACUUUAGGGUGCAAGAGAAUCACCUGGAAAGCUUAUUAAAACAAAUUGCUGACUCUGUCCCCAGAGUUUCUAAUUCUACAGGUCCAGGGCAGGGCCAAAGAAUUUGCGUUUCUGAGACUCAUGCUGCUUGCUAGCCUAGAGACCACACUUUGGGUUAGGAGAUCUCCACGUCCCUUUCAUCUCAAGUUCCUGAAACUGCAUUUGACAGAGUUGCUCUUCUGACGUGUGGAUAUUAGAAAUGGAUUGGUGGCUGAUGCACCAACAGAUAAAGGGAAGGUUCAACCCAACCUACUUCAUGUGUGUUCUCACAUAGUCUACGAAGGUAAAAAUGACCUUUCCAAGCCUCUCCUUUCACGGGCUACAAAGCAGCUGGGCAGCAGCCACUUCUUGCCUCAAGGGCCGGGGCUGCUGAACCUUCCAAUUGAAUUCCAGAAUGGGAGGCUGCUCUGUCUUCCAUAGGCAUGCUCCCAUGAUGGAAUUCCUCCUUCAGGACAAGGUUGGGAGCUUCCCAGAGUUGUUGAGAGCCCCAGUUCCCCCAAGGAGCAUGGUACCCUUAGGUCAUCCACAACUCAGGUGAGGAUUUUUAGAACCUAAGAUUCUAUAAAAGGGUAAAGGAUAUUUUAAGUGGGAAGGAGUAGUAAUAAAGUUUUUAUUAGUGAGAAAAAUGUGAAGAAAACUGGCAGGAUUCCAGAGAUAUUGGAAUAGAGAGAAACCAUCAACAGUGUGCCAGGGAGGUGGGUCCAGAUGUGCAAAUUUGGAGGCAGAUACCUCAAAGAGAAACCCAAAGUUAAUUUUUAGCCUCAGCCUACAUACACAGAUAUGGUAGUAGUAUUGACUAUGGAAGUACAAAUUUAUAUCCUGUUAAUAGUUUUUCAAUUUUCACAAAACCCAACUAGUAUCAUCUCUUCCUUGGUCAAAAAAAUUUCCCAAUGAACUUCCAAAGUAGAACAGUAAACAGUUGCUGAUUUUAAAGUCAUUUCAGGAAAUUCACCUUCCUGUUUCUUCUUUAUGCCUUAAAUUCCUUUAAGAGAGGUAAAAAGAGUUUUAUUCCACAAAGCCAACAGCUGACCAUUGGUAGGAAGAGCACCCAGUCUAAUUCUAGGUCCGUUGGCCUCUGUCCAUCUCAUGACCACAGGCAACAUGGGCUACCUCUUCAUUCUCCCCAUCCUUAAAGAGAGUCUCAAACUGAUAGGCUUCAGUCCUUCUCAGAAUUACAUGUGUGUCUAAGGAUUAAAUUUGUGGUAGAGUGUACAUGGGCAAUAACAAGUACUUUUCAAGGAACCAUUUUAAUACAAAGAAGGAGUUUUGGAAGGGGAGAGCUGAGCAGAAAAAGGAAGAACAUUUCCCACUUCUUGUCUAUGGACCACUGAGUGGCCUAGCCUACCGGGCCUUAUAGGAAGUUCAGAGAUUCAUUUUCUGCAGGAGGCAUUCUACACAUUUUCCUCCUCUUCCACCCUAACCACUAUGAGCUUCAGUGAAAUAAGUGCUAUGGCACACAUGGAGAAACUUGACUCCAGCUGUAAAGAGAUUUGUGUUUUAUGGGAUAUGUAUCUGGUCUCCUCUCUUUGAAAGUCCGUCCUUGCUUUCCCAGAUCUGGUGUUUAUGUGAUCCCUGAAGAGACCCCCUGUUCAGCACCCCGCACUGUCCUGUUAUAGGUACACUCCAUCAGGCACCAGCCCUAGCCCUGCAGCAGGAAGUGCAAGAUGGAGCAGAUGACUUUUUACAACUCUAAAUGGUUUUCUCAGAUGGCCCAAGAUAGAACGAAUGGUACUGAUUUAAGGCCUCAAUUGGUUUCACUACAAAAAAAUAAGAAGGGAACUAUUAACAAGUUACAGAGAUUUCUGCUGAGCAGAUGAGAGGUACAUGUUAAAAAGUUUGUAGUCAGCUUGCUUUGGCUUUUAAAUGACACUCACUGGAAAUGAGACUUGGUGGCCUGCUGAGUUUCAGGGGGUGGGAACCCCCACAUGAACUAGCGUUUGAAGAAAUGCUCUUCUGCAUUAAAAAGACUCAAUAUAAAUAACAGCUAUUUUUCAAGGUCCAUGGAGAAAGAGAAGACUAUGGUACUCAUUUUGUAGAGAAGCAAAUCGAGAUACUGAGAGGUCUUUACUCUCUUAUGAUCUCACAGCUUGUCGGCUGUUAAACAAGAUCAGGAGUGCCAGCCAAGUGCUAAGUAAGCACAAGGAGGCAGGCUGCCCUCCCUGUGCAUUUCAACACUUGGCUGCCUUGAGGCCUCACAUCACCAAAGAGCUAGGGCAGAGUAGGAGGCCAGGCCACACUGAUACAGAAGGGUCAGAGCUGCCUCUCAAAGAAAAGCAUACCUCCCUUUCCUGCGUAACAUUCUCAUCUCACCCCCUCUGGUUCAGCCAGGUCCUGAAUGCUCUAAGGGUCUUGAUUUAAACCUGCUGUAAUAGAUGAGAAUGGACUGGAUGGAUCUGGAUAUUUUUUUUAAUAUUUGUCAAAAUUAAAUACAUUGUAAAUAUUGUUUCCUUUUUUCUUCCCUUCUGUAAGUGAAGGAGGAGUGAAAGAAGGAGUAAGGAAUCCUAGUGCAUUUGAGUUCUGAUGGAAAGACUCUCAGGUGUUGGCUUCUGUCCAUGCAGCUGAGCAUCUUGGCCUCCCCACACACUGACCAAGCAAGUGGAAUUGAAAACAAGUAGGGUUCUGAGUCUCUGUGCUUCCUGGAUGGUCCUGUUUCACACUUGCCACACUGCCCAGGUGGGCUGUUCCUGGUGUUUCCCCUUCCAUUAACUGGUUUGUUUUCUCUGCUACUUCUUUUACUGCCUUCCUUGCUACCACGUACACUUCAGUUGUGAUUGCCAUUUAGAGCUGAUCCGCCUCUCUCCUAGUCACAGUACCCAGCUUCCCACUGAGUAUCCUCCUCCCCACUCUCAACCCUUCACUCCUACCUCUAGGAAGGCAUGUGACUAAGGGCAGGAUGGUGCAAGCACCGUAUUCCCCAGUCCCCACCAUAGUAAUUGGUUCAGAGGUGAUGAGAGUUAGAGUUAAUGAGACUCCAUGAGAUUUUGCUAGGAACCUUAAGGACACAUGGCCUUUCCCAUCAGAUUUAAAUUUAAGAAGAUGUAGGUCUAGGGCUACUGGCAGCUAUGUUACCACCAUGGAGCAGAGGAGGUGCCUGAGAAUGAAGUCAGGUGGGAGCCUGGAGCAGGGUGGUGGCAAGGGAAAUUAGAGGUAUGGAUGGAUUCCUGAACUUGAUGACAUUUAGCUAUGCUGGAUAGGGAUGGAGGGAAACACCCAGGAUGGUGAGUGGAUAGCAGAGUCCUUCCCCCAGGAGAGGGCGCCAAGUCUGCGAGGUAAAUCAUGGACUCAAUUUUGGACAUGUUGAGCAUAAAGGACUUUGGGACGAAAUAGAAUAUGUCACCAAUAACGGCUUGUUUUAGCGGACUGAAUUGAGAUGCUCUCCAAUCCCUGUUAUAAGCGCCUCACGGGCAUCAUUCCUGAUCUCAGUGAUAAAUGAGAUAUGCAUAAGUGGCUAUCUGAAUUGUUAGAGUGAUCCACAAUAGUUCAAAGACAAGCUGUUCAUUGAACUGUCUUCCAUUCCUGAUCUUUUACUGGUAUGAAUUUCUCAGUAUCUGAUCCUCUUCAAGGAUCAACCUCUAAUUAUUACAAAUCAAACUGAUGAAAAUCCCAACACUGAGAGAAAUGCUCACAAUCCCAUUAACUGCCUGACAAACAUUAAAAGACCCAGUGGAAAAAAAAAAAAAAAAAAGACCCA